GAUUAUCUAAAAUUUUUAGUGAAUAACCGAUGUUGGAAUUAAAUAUACGUUGGUAUGAGUCCUCACAAAAAUCUUAUAUAAAACCGAUCUUCUCGAAAGAGAAUGUGGUGACCAAUCCAAUCACAUGACUCUUAGAAAAAAUGAUAUUAAGAAGUUUCCCUUCCAUAAUUACAAAAUACAUUGAGGAUAUCGUACCAUUAGCAAACGGGAGAAUGAGUUUGAUAUAUAGUAGUGUUACAUAUUAGCAAUGGGAGAAUUAGUUUCAUAGUAGUGUUGCAUUAUUCUCUCACUUUCAUGACUACUCGAUUGUCGAGAAAGCUUAAGUGUUGACCAUCUCAUGCAAUUAUCUUUGAUCGUAAAAUUCCCACCACCAAAUUCCUCUUGGUAACCAUAUGAAAAAGGCCAGUGCAUCCAUUGUGUUCUGAUGGAUCUGUUGAAACUAUGGUAACGAGGCAUUACACUUCAUGGUGAAACUAAAAUUAUGCCGCUACAAUAAUCUCCUCCCAUAUGUUCGACCGAUCAACCUCCGAUCUAGACAACUCAUGGACGGCAGUGAUUAGUUCUUCCGCUAAUUUUGUUAAACAAAAUUUAUUAAUUCUUAAAGUAAAAGCAUCUAAUUUGGUGCCCAUCACAUGGAAAACUGUUCAGAAGAAGGGAAGACCCACCUGAUCACUAC
rnacentral:lncRNA from 1 species